rnacentral:rRNA from 1 species
CAAUAGCGUAUAUUUAAGUUGUUGCAGUUAAAAAGCUCGUAGUUGGAUUUCGGGUGGGAUUUGCCGGUCCGUCGUUACGAUGUGCACUGGCCAGUCCUAUCUUGUUGUCGGGGACUAGCUCCUUGGAUUCACUUCCUGGGACUAGGAGCUGACGAGGUUACUUUGAGUAAAUUAGAGUGUUCAAAGCAAGCCUACGCUCUGAAUACAUUAGCAUGGAAUAACACGAUAGGACUCUGGCUUAUCUUGUUGGUCUGUGAGACCAGAGUAAUGAUUAAGAGGGACAGUCGGGGACAUUCGUAUUUCAUUGUCAGAGGUGAAAUUCUUGGAUUUAUGAAAGACGAACUUCUGCGAAAGCAUUUGGCAAGGAUGUUUUCAUUAA